rnacentral:rRNA from 1 species
AUUGAACGCUGGCGGCAGGCCUAACACAUGCAAGUCGAACGAGUGGCGGACGGGUGAGUAAUGUAUGGGAAACUGCCUGAUGGAGGGGGAUAACUACUGGAAACGGUAGCUAAUACCGCAUACCAUCAGAGGUGACCAUAUGGGAUUGGCUAGUUGGUGGGGUAACGGCUUACCAAGGCGCCGAUCCCUAGCUGGGCUGAGAGGAUGACCAGCCACACUGAAACUGAGACACGGUCCAGAGUCCUACGGGAGGCAGCAGUGGGGAAUAUUGCACUAUGAGCGCAAGCCUGAUGAAGCCAUGCCGAGUGUAUGAAGAAGGCCUUCGGGUUUUAAAGUACUUUCAGCGGGGAGGCGUUACCCGCAGAAGAAGCACCGGCUAACUCCGUGCCAGCAGCCGCGGUAAUUC